rnacentral:rRNA from 2 species
GCCUAGCCCUAAACAUCGAUAGUACCAUACACCCACUAUCCGCCCGGGUACUACGAGCAAUAGCUUAAAACCCAAAGGACUUGGCGGUGCUUUAGAUCCACCUAGAGGAGCCUGUUCUAAAACCGAUAACCCCCGUUCAACCUCACCCUUCCUUGUUUUACCCGCCUAUAUACCGCCGUCGUCAGCUUACCCUGUGAGGGACUAAUAGUAAGCAGAACUGGUACAACCUAAAACGUCAGGUCGAGGUGUAGCGUAUGGAGGGGGAAGAAAUGGGCUACAUUCGCUACCACAGCGAACACGAAUGAUGCACUGAAACACACAUCUGAAGGAGGAUUUAGCAGUAAGCUGGAAAUAGAGCGUCCCACUGAAACUGGCCCUGAAGCGCGC